rnacentral:rRNA from 1 species
UAAUACGGGGGGUGCAAGCGUUGUUCGGAAUUAUUGGGCGUAAAGCGCGUGUAGGCGGUCUGAUUAGUCUGAUGUGAAAGCCCUGGGCUCAACCCAGGAAGUGCAUUGGAUACUGUCAGACUUGAAUACGGGAGAGGGUAGUGGAAUUCCUAGUGUAGGAGUGAAAUCCGUAGAUAUUAGGAGGAACACCGGUGGCGAAGGCGGCUACCUGGACCGAUAUUGACGCUGAGACGCGAAAGCGUGGGUAGCAAACAGGAUUAGAUACCCUGGUAGUCCACGCCGUAAACGAUGAGUACUAGGUGUUGCGGGUAUUGACCCCUGCAGUGCCGCAGCUAACGCAUUAAGUACUCCGCCUGGGAAGUACGGUCGCAAGACU